AAAAAAGCAUUAGGAACUUAGGGUGGGAAUUGAAUAUUGGGGUUCCCUCUGUUCUUCUUCCUGGUUCGAACUGACAAGUGAAAACUGCAAAAGAACCACUCCAGUGCUCUCCUCAACGGUUCAACCUCCAUUGAAACGGAGAUCAAUUUGUAACAGACUACAGUCGACUAAUCAAGUGAUCAACGACCAAGGUUCAAGAGUACACAAUUAACUGUAUCUCAGUACUUUUGCAAUGUCUGGACUUUCGAGAUUUAACAGCCUUGGACCAAAGACAAAGAACUUGAUAGUGGCUGGAGGUUUAACAGGCUUUGUAUUUGGGGUGUAUUUCUACACCAUGAGGGCUGUUGGGGGUACAGAUGAGUUGCAGGUGGCUAUUGACAAGUUUGAAGAGGAGAAAAGCAAGAAAGAGGCUGAGGCAAGCUUGAUGACAAAGUCUUGAUAAAUCCAUUUUCACUUGUAGUCUCAUGUUUUACUAAUCAUGUAAACAAUAAAGGAGUAGGGUUUUUUCUCAAAUAAAUAAUGGUUCAUUCUUCUAAGUAAUGACUUGAAAGAUCCACUCUGAUGUCAAGGGUUCUUGGAAGAACGUCAUGUGAGCUUUCUGUUUUUUCUAAUCCUUUCCAAUCAAUUAUUGCAUGCAUUAUCUUCUCUCA